rnacentral:rRNA from 1 species
UGAUGACGAGACGCUAAGGCGUUGAAGCAGUGUAUGUCAGACUUCCAAGAAAAGCUCGCAAUGUCACAAAUAAAGAAUGCCUGUACCAUAACCGACACAGGUGGGUAGGUAGAGUAUACUAAGGGGCGCGAGAUAACUCUCUCUAAGGAACUCGGCAAAAUGACUCCGUAACUUCGGGAGAAGGAGUGCCUUAUUUAUAAGGUUGCAAUAACAAGAUCCAAGCAACUGUUAUCAAAAACACAGGUCUCCGCUAAGUCGUAAGACGAUGUAUGGGGGCUGACGCCUGCCCAGUGCCAGAAGGUUAAAGAAGUUGGUUAGUGUAUGCGAAGCUGAUGACUGAAGCCCUGGUGAACGGCGGCCGUAACGAUAACGGUCCUAAGGUAGCGAAAUUCCUUGUCGGGUAAGUUCCGACCCGCACGAAAGGCGUAAUGAUUUGGAUACUGUCUCGGAGAGAGGCUCGGUGAAAUAGACUUGUCUGUGAAGAUGCGGACUAUCUGCACCAGGACAGAAAGACCCUAUGAAGCUUUACUGUAACUUGAAAUUGGAAUUGGACUUUGCUUGCGCAGUAUAGGUGGGAAGCGUUGAAAAUAUUCUUGCGGGAGUAUUGGAGCUAUCAGUGAGAUACCACUCUUGUAAUGUUAGAUUUCUAACUUUGAACCAUAAUCUGGUCAAAGAACAGUUUCAGGUGGGCAGUUUGACUGGGGCGGUCGCCUCCCAAAUGGUAACGGAGGCGUACAAAGGUUUCCUCUGAACGGAUAGAAAUCGUAUCUAGAGUGCAAUGGCAUAAGGAAGCUUGACUGUGAGACCUACAAGUCGAGCAGGGACGAAAGUCGGUCUUAGUGAUCUGACGGUACUGAGUGGAAAGGCCGUCACUCAACGGAUAAAAGUUACUCUAAGGAUAACAGGCUGAUCUCCCCCAAGAGUUCACAUCGACGGGGAGGUUUGGCACCUCGAUGUCGGCUCAUCGCAUCCUGGGGCGGUAGUACGUCCCAAGGGUUGGGCCGUUCGCCCAUGAAAGCGGUACGCGAGCUGGGUUCAGAACGUCGUGAGACAGUUCGGUCCAUAUCCGGUGUAGGCGCUAGAAUAUUGAGAGGAGCCUUCUUUAGUACGAGAGGACCGAGAAGGACACACCGCUGGUGUACCAGUUAUCGUGCCAACGGUAAACGCUGGGUAGCUAUGUGUGGAGUGGAUAACCGCUGAAAGCAUCUAAGUGGGAAGCCCACCUCAAGAUGAGUGCUCUCACAGGGUUAACCUGGUAAGGUCACGGGAAGACCACCCG